AUUGAACGCUGGCGGCAUGCCUUACACAUGCAAGUCGAACGGCAGCACGGGAGCAAUCCUGGUGGCGAGUGGCGAACGGGUGAGUAAUACAUCGGAACGUGCCCAGUAGUGGGGGAUAGCCCGGCGAAAGCCGGAUUAAUACCGCAUGAGACCUGAGGGUGAAAGCGGGGGAUCGCAAGACCUCGCGCUAUUGGAGCGGCCGAUGUCAGAUUAGCUAGUUGGUAGGGGAAAGGCAUACCAAGGCAACGAUCUGUAGUUGGUCUGAGAGGACGACCAGCCACACUGGGACUGAGACACGGCCCAGACUCCUACGGGAGGCAGCAGUGGGGAAUUUUGGACAAUGGGCGCAAGCCUGAUCCAGCAAUGCCGCGUGCAGGAAGAAGGCCUUCGGGUUGUAAACUGCUUUUGUCAGGGAAGAAAUCUUCUGGGCUAAUACCCUGGGAGGAUGACGGUACCUGAAGAAUAAGCACCGGCUAACUACGUGCCAGCCGCCGCGGUAACA
rnacentral:rRNA from 1 species